AACGAACGCUGGCGGCGCGCCUAAUACAUGCAAGUCGAGCGAGAAGACGUAGCAAUACGUUUGUAAAGCGGCGAACGGGUGAGGAAUACAUGGGUAACCUACCCUCGAGUGGGGAAGUAACUAGCCGAAAGGUUAGCUAAUACCGCGUACGCUCCUUGGACUUCGGUUCAGGGAGGAAAGCGAUACCGUGGGUAUCGCGCUCUUGGAUGGGCUCAUGUCCUAUCAGCUUGUUGGUGAGGAACGGCUCACCAAGGCUUCGACGGGUAGCUGGUCUGAGAGGACGAUCAGCCACACUGGCACUGCGACACGGGCCAGACUCCUACGGGAGGCAGCAGUAAGGAAUAUUGCGCAAU
rnacentral:rRNA from 1 species